rnacentral:misc_RNA from 1 species
UAGGCUAAGUUCCCGGAGGCUG